UUGUCCGGAUUUAUUGGGCGUAAAGAGCGUGUAGGCGGCUUGGCAAGUCCGCUGUGAAAACUCGAGGCUUAACCUCGAGACGUCGGUGGAAACUGCCUGGCUAGAGUCCGGAAGAGGAGUGUGGAAUUCCUGGUGUAGCGGUGAAAUGCGCAGAUAUCAGGAAGAACACCUAUGGCGAAGGCAGCACUCUGGGACGGUACUGACGCUGAGACGCGAAAGCGUGGGGAGCGAACAGG
rnacentral:rRNA from 1 species